UACGUAGGGGGCAAGCGUUGUCCGGAUUUAUUGGGCGUAAAGAGCGUGUAGGCGGCCGUACAGGUCAGCUGUGAAAACUCGAGGCUCAACCUCGAGACGUCGGUUGAAACCGUACGGCUAGAGUCCGGAAGAGGAGAGUGGAAUUCCCGGUGUAGCGGUGAAAUGCGCAGAGUAUCGGGAAGAACACCCGUGGCGAAGGCGGCUCUCUGGGCCGAUACGUGACGCUGAGG
rnacentral:rRNA from 1 species